AUUAAUUGGAUUGAGCCUUGGUAUGGAACCUACCAAGAGAUAACUUUCAAAUUCAGAGAAACCCUGGAAUUAAAAAUGGGCAAUCCUGAGCCAAAUCCGGUCCAAUUUUCUGAAAACAAAGAAGGGUUCAGAAGGCCAUAAUAAAAAAAGGAUAGGUGCAGAGACUCAAUGGAAGCUGUUCUAACAAACGGAGUUGGCUGAAGUGCGAAAGGAAUCACUCCAAAAAAAAGGAUGAAGAAUAUAUAUACGUAUAAUACUAUCUUCAAUUGAUUAAUCGGACGAGAAUAAAGAUAGAGUCCCAGUCUACAUGUCAAUAUCGACAACAAUGAAAUUUAUAGUAAGAGGAAAAUCCGUCGACUUUAAAAAUCGUGAGGGUUCAAGUCCCUCUAUCCCCA
rnacentral:ncRNA from 1 species